AGUGAACGCUGGCGGUAGGCCUAACACAUGCAAGUCGAACGGCAGCACAGUAAGAGCUUGCUCUUACGGGUGGCGAGUGGCGGACGGGUGAGGAAUACAUCGGAAUCUACUUUUUCGUGGGGGAUGACGUAGGGAAACUUACGCUAAUACCGCAUACGACCUGCGGGUGAAAGCAGGGGAUCUUCGGACCUUGCGCGAUUGAAUGAGCCGAUGUCGGAUUAGCUAGUUGGCGGGGUAAAGGCCCACCAAGGCGACGAUCCGUAGCUGGUCUGAGAGGAUGAUCAGCCACACUGGAACUGAGACACGGUCCAGACUCCUACGGGAGGCAGCAGUGGGGAAUAUUGGACAAUGGGCGCAAGCCUGAUCCAGCCAUACCGCGUGGGUGAAGAAGGCCUUCGGGUUGUAAAGCCCUUUUGUUGGGAAAGAAAAGCAGCAGGUUAAUACCCCGCUGUUCUGACGGUACCCAAAGAAUAAGCACCGGCUAACUUCGUG
rnacentral:rRNA from 1 species